rnacentral:rRNA from 1 species
GAUGAACGCUGGCGGCGUGCCUAAUACAUGCAAGUCGAGCGAACAGACGAGGAGCUUGCUCCUCUGACGUUAGCGGCGGACGGGUGAGUAACACGUGGAUAACCUACCUAUAAGACUGGGAUAACUUCGGGAAACCGGAGCUAAUACCGGAUAAUAUAUUGAACCGCAUGGUUCAAUAGUGAAAGACGGUUUUGCUGUCACUUAUAGAUGUAUCCGCGCCGCAUUAGCUAGUUGGUAAGGUAACGGCCUACCAAGGCAACGAUGCGUAGCCGACCGGAUAGGGGGAUACGCCCAACUAGAAACGGGACCAGGUUCAGACCCCUAAGGGGAGGAGAAGGUGGGGAUCUUGCCCAAGGGGGGCAAACCCUAACGAGGCAUCCCGGGUGGGGGAAGAAGGGUUUUGGGUUGGAAAACCCCUUUUUUGGGGAAAAAAAGAAUUUGGAAAAAACCAUGCUGGUCUGACGGGACCCAAAGCAGAAGCACCGGCCAAAUUAGGG